GAUGAACGCUGGCGGCGUGCCUAAUACAUGCAAGUCGAGCGAACAGACGAGGAGCUUGCUCCUCUGACGUUAGCGGCGGACGGGUGAGUAACACGUGGAUAACCUACCUAUAAGACUGGGAUAACUUCGGGAAACCGGAGCCAAUACCGGAUAAUAUAUUGAACCGCAUGGUUCAAUAGUGAAAGACGGUUUUGCUGUCACUUAUAGAUGGAUCCGCGCCGCAUUAGCUAGUUGGUAAGGUAACGGCUUACCAAGGCAACGAUGCGUAGCCGACCUGAUAGGGUGAUCGGCCACACUGGAACUGAGACACGGUCCAGACUCCUGCGGGAGGCAGCAGUAGGGAAUCGUCCGCAAUGGGCGAAAGCCUGGCGGAGCAACGCCGCGUGAGUGAUGGAGGUCUUGGGAGCGGAAAACUCGGUUAUUAGGGAAGAACAAAUGUGUAAGUAACUAUGCACGGCGUGACGGUACCUAAUAAGAAAGCCACGGCUAACUACGUG
rnacentral:rRNA from 1 species